rnacentral:tRNA from 1 species
GGGGUUGUGGCUCAGUGGUACAGCACUUGCCUGGCAAAUAUGAGGUCCGGGGGUUGAUCCCCAGCAACCCUC